rnacentral:ncRNA from 1 species
AGCGCCGGGACUACGCCGGGUGAGAGCGGCUGGCGCCGCACUGUGGGCCCGGCGGGGUGCCU